rnacentral:rRNA from 1 species
UACAGAGGUCUCAAGCGUUGUUCGGAUUCAUUGGGCGUAAAGGGCGCGUAGGCGGCGGGGUAAGUCGGGUGUGAAAUCCCACGGCUCAACCGUGGACGUGCAUCCAAAACUACGUCGCUGGAGUCUCGGAGAGGAAGGUGGAAUGCUUGGUGUAGAGGUGAAAUUCGUAGAUAUCAAGCAGAACACCUGCGGCGAAGGCGGCCUUCUGGACGAUGACUGACGCUGAGACGCGAAAGCGUGGGGAGCAAACAGG